UGGCUCAGAACGAACGCUGGCGGCAUGCUUAACACAUGCAAGUCGCACGGGCAGGGCAACCUGUCAGUGGCGGACGGGUGAGUAACGCGUAGGUAUCUAUCCUCGGGUGGGGGACAACCACGGGAAACUGUGGCUAAUACCGCAUGAUGACUGAGGUCCAAAGGCGCAAGUCGCCUGGGGAGGAGCCUGCGUCCGAUUAGCUUGUUGGUGGGGUAACGGCCUACCAGGGCAACGAUCGGUAGCUGGUCUGAGAGGAUGAUCAGCCACACUGGUUUCUGAGACACGNCGAUGACUCCUAC
rnacentral:rRNA from 1 species